GGGCGGGAUGUAACCCGCUGCUGAGCUGGCAGCUCUGUGUCGCUAGGCUUCGGCCCGGCCGCCGCCGCACAUAAGCUGCGAGGAGGAGCUUUACGACUUCCCGGUCUUCGGGGCCGGGCGCAGCAAGGGCCAGACUCUGCGCUAGCAGGCGCUGCGCGCCAACCGGCCGGCACCUGUCGCAGAAGGUGCAACCGAUCGCACUGUCGCGCCGAAGCUCCUCAAUGGCCAGCGCCAGCUGCAGCCCCGGCCGCCCACUCGCCUCACCUGAGCCUGGGAGCUUGAAAAAUCACAUUUGAGAAGAGGAUUGGAUCCUAGCCAUAACAUAAAUAUAAGGGUGGAACCAAAGUUUUAAUCAAAGAAGGUGGUGUUCAGUUGCUGCUUACAAUAGUUGAUACCCCAGGAUUUGGAGAUGCAGUGGAUAACAGUAAUUGCUGGCAGCCUGUUAUCAAUUACAUUGAUAUUAAAUUUGAGGACUACCUAAAUGCAGAAUCGCGAGUGAACAGAUGUCAGAUGCCUGGUAACAGGGUGCAGUGUUGUUUAUACUUCAUUGCUCCUUCAGGACAUGGACCAUUACAUAACUGAAGACUCCCACCUUCAGGCAGGAUUGGGUAGUACGUGUUUGUAACUACCUGGCAUUGCCUUUUGUUGAGGAAGGGUAGAUGUCUACCCAAAUGGAAUAUUGAGUAUCAGAGACUUCAAAUGAUAACUUUUGUUUGUUUGGAGAAAAUCUUGAGGACGUGAUCACUGUACAAAAGCAUGGCAAAAUGAGGAAACCACUGACAGGUGAAGAAUUUGCACAAUGGAAAACCACCUUGACCAUCUCAUGACUUUAUACAGGAAUCGGAGACAUCCAAGGCCAUUCCAUUUCUAAAUCACACUUAUCCCUCAAUCAAGUCAGUGACUGGAUCAUCUCCUAAGGUUUCACCUGCUUUGCAUCAGUGAGUUGGACUAUGGAUCAGGUACUGUGCUCAGCAUCAGAAAAUGGGAUGACAAUGAACAGAGUAACAGGACUAUAUUUCUGAAAAAGGAUGAACUUACUGGAAACAGGAUUGCGUGCCUGAAAUAUAUCCAAAUGGAUAUAAAUGUCAACUCAGUUCUGGGCUGGAGAUAUAGAUUUGGAAUGCACCAACAAUGCAGAUGGUAAUCCUGGCAUGCGAGUAGAUUCUGUUCACUCUCUGCUAUCAGUUGCUGUGUCCUUAAGGAAUGCAGACAAUGUUAAUUCAAGCAAAACAAUAGAAAGAAAAUGAUUUGAAAUGAAAACUUGGCUUUAAAAAGUUACAUAAUAUACUCUCAAGCUAAAUAUAGGUUAUUUUUUAGUAUCU
rnacentral:lncRNA from 1 species